GGGUGCCGGACCUCGCUACCGACUCCAACCAAGCUCCGACCGACAAGUCUGGACCCCCUGGCGGGCCACAAUAACGGAUAACACUGCUCCACUCCCUGCGGCGGACCCUACGCGACCCCAUUACUCCCUGACAGGCUGUAUUAACGGCCAUGAUUCUGCUCCACUCCCUGCGGCGGAUCCUGUGCGAUUCCACCACCCCCAGAUGAGUCACGACAGCGGACGCCGCUCCACUCCCCGUAACUGAUCCCGCGUGGCAAGCCACGGCAAUAGCCACGACCCCGCUCCACUACUCUCCGCAAUAAAUUCCUCCUGACUCUGGGCGGCCCACUACCAGACGGUUACAAACGUCGCUAUCAAUCUGUUGCCCUCUCCGUCUAUAAAAGG
rnacentral:lncRNA from 1 species